rnacentral:lncRNA from 1 species
GGCAAAGGGAGAGGACUGCAAAUAGAAGAGAACUGUAGGAUUCUGCAAUGGAAGAAGAUACCAAAGCCCAGCUGCAGCAGAACUAACACAUCUACUCCCAACAUUGAGCCCUCCACUUGCCUGGGCGACCACCACCGAGGAUGGGAAAGGAUGACAUUGGAAGGGAAUUUGCAGCCCUCCUGAUCUCCAGAUGAAGAGCUUAUGGAUAUGAAAAGGCUUUCCCAAAGAAGCCAUGGAGUAGAAUCCAGGUCUCCCAGUUCGUGAUCAGUCUUCCAUCUCCCUGGUGGGCCAGAGAUAUUUCAAGUUGGCAGAGUCAAGCAUGAGCAAGGAGAUGGUGUGGGGCAGAGUGUGAACCAUAUAUUCCUAGACCCCAGUGAUGAAGGCUAAAUGAGACAAUAUACGUCAUGCAUCUUGCACUUCCUGCCACACAGAGCUUCCAUGGAUACUGAAAGAUCAGCUGACACGUGCCUUCAAGGCUAAAAUGAAUGUGGAUAUCAAUAGUGAUGAGAAGAAAUGGUCUAAAAUAAAGAAACAGCAUGUGCAAAAGUGAAGAUUAUGAUGCUAUGUCAGUUACCUUCAGGACCCAAUUGUAGCCACUUCAGCUGGCCCAGGCUUUCCCGAAAUGUGAAGACAGCAAACUCCCACUCUUCCUCCUGCAGACUGGUGGCAAAAACACAAAGUCCACUUGAGACCAUGAAGUCCAAGGAUCUUUUCUUAUUCCUGGAAUAUACUAGGAAAAAUACAGGCACCGUGCAGCGGGUGCUGUGUUCUAGCUGCUCUGUUAACUGCCAGUUACCUCAUUUGAUCCUGAUGACAACCCUUGGGUAGGUAUUGUGGUUACCUCCAUUCUAUCUCUGGAAGAACUAAGAAUGGAGGUUAAGUAACUUUCCUGAGGCUCCUUAGCUAAGUCUCUAGGACUGGAAUGGAGCCAGGCAGCCUGACUCAAGAGCCCCACUGAGUGCUCCUCCACAGAGGACACAGCUUCUGCACCCCUGCAGGGAGAGGCCCCAACCACAGGAUUGAUAUGGGGAAAAGUGGCCUUAUUUGGCUUUUAAUGAAUUACUCUACCUCCCUUGAUUUCAAAAUAAAGGAGAAGGCUUAGAUCUUGAGAAUCCAUUUGGAUUCAGUGUAAGAAUAACCAUAGUUUGUAUCCUGGCUGGGCUGCUUACCAGGUUCAAGAUAAAAAGAAACAACAAUGAAUCCAACAAAUCAACAAAGCACAAAGUCCAACAACAAAAAAACAAACAAAGAAAAGAAAAAGAAGGGCAAA